rnacentral:rRNA from 1 species
AACGAACGCCAGCGGCGUGGGUUAGGCAUGCAAGUCGAACGUGAUCCGUAGCAAUACGGUGAAAGUGGCGGAAGGGUGAGUAAUGCAUAGAUAACCUACCUCCAAGUCUGGGAUAACUCCGGGAAACUGGAGCUAAUACCGGAUGGGGGUCGCGAGAUCGCCUGGUUUUGCGACUAAAGGGGCCCUCCUUACAGUGGUCCUGCUCGGAGAGGGAUCUAUGUCCUAUCAGCAGUUGGUGAGGGUAAGAGCCCACCAAGGCUGUGACGGGUAGCCGGCCUUAGCGGGUGUCCGGCCACAUUGGGACUGAGACACUGCCCAAACUCCUACGGGGAGCUGCAGUCGAGGAUCUUCCGCAAUGGGCGCAAGCCUGACGGAGCGA